rnacentral:rRNA from 1 species
AUUGAACGCUGGCGGCAGGCCUAACACAUGCAAGUCGAGCGAGCGGCGGACGGGUGAGUAAAGUAUGGGGACUGCCCGAUAGAGGGGGAUAACUACUGGAAACGGUAGCUAAUACCGCAUACUAUAGGAUAACCCAUAUGGGAUUAGCUAGUAGGUGAGGUAAUGGCUCACCUAGGCGACGAUCCCUAGCUGGUCUGAGAGGAUGAUCAGCCCCACUGGGACUGAGACACGGCCCAGACUCCUACUGAUUCAUCAUUGUCAAAUAUUGCACAAUGGGCGCAAGCCUGAUACAGCCAUGCCGCGUGUAUGAAGAAGACCCUAGGGUUUUAAAGUACUUUCAGUCGGGAGGCGUUACCGACAGAAGAAGCACCGGCUAACGCCGUGCCAGCAGCCGCGGUAAUAC